rnacentral:rRNA from 1 species
AACGAACGCUGGCGGCAUGCCUAACACAUGCAAGUCGAACGAGACCUUCGGGUCUAGUGGCGCAGGGGUGCGUAACGCGUGGGAACCUGCCCUUAGGUUCAGAAUAACUCCCCGAAAGGGGUGCUAAUACCAGAUAAUGUCUUCGGACCAAAGAUUUUUCGCCUUUGGAUGGGCCCGCGUUGGAUUAGCUAGUUGGUAGGGUAAAAGCAUACCAAGGCGACGAUCCAUAGCUGGUCGGAGAGGAAGGUCCGCCACACUGGGACUGAGACACGGACCAGACUCCUACGGAAGGCAGCAGUGGGGAACACUGGAGACUGGGGGAAAGCCUGAUCCAGCAGUGCCGGGUGAGUGAUGAAGGCCUUAGUGUUGUAAAGCUCUUUUACCCGGGAUGAUAAUGACAGUACCGGGAGAAUAAGCUCCGGCUAACUCCGUG